AUUGAGUCCAGGCCCUGUCUCAGUGGUCUAAGGCUGUGCCGCUAGAGAUUCUGGGAUUGAGUCCAGGCCCUGUCUCAGUGGUCUAAGGCUGUGCCGCUAGAGAUUCUGGGAUUGAGUCCAGGCCCUGUCUCAGUGGUCCAAGGCUGUGCCGCUAGAGAUUCUGGGAUUGAGUCCAGGCCCUGUCUCAGUGGUCCAAGGCUGUGCCGCUAGAGAUUCUGGGAUUGAGUCCAGGCCCUGUCUCAGUGGUCUAAGGCUGUGCCGCUAGAGAUUCUGGGAAUGAGUCCAGGCCCUGUCUCAGUGGUCCAAGGCUGUGCCGCUAGAGAUUCUGGGAAUGAGUCCAGGCCCUGUCUCAGUGGUCCAAGGCUGUGCCGCUAGAGAUUCUGGGAUUGAGUCCAGGCCCUGUCUCAGUGGUCUAAGGCUGUGCCGUUAGAGAUUCUGGGAUUGAGUCCAGGCCCUGUCUCAGUGGUCUAAGGCUGUGCCGCUAGAGAUUCUGGGAUUGAGUCCAGGCCCUGUCUCAGUGGUCUAAGGCUGUGCCGCUAGAGAUUCUGGGAAUGAGUCCAGGCCCUGUAUCAGUGGUCCAAGGCUGUGCCGCUAGAGAUUCUGGGAUUGAGUCCAGGCCCUGUCUCAGUGGUCUAAGGCUGUGCCGCUAGAGAUUUUGGGAAUGAGUCCAGGCCCUGUCUCAGCUGACCGGGAGACUCAUGAGGCGGCGCACAAUUUCCCCAGCGACGUCCGGGUCGGGGUAGGGUUUGGCCGGCAGGGAUGUCCUUGUCCCAUCAUGCACUAGCGGCUCCUGUGGGCGCCAUGCACGCUGACACGGUUGCCAGGUGUACGGUGUUUCCUCCGACACAUUGGUGCUACUGGCGUCAAGGGAUAAGUGGGCAUUGUGUUAAGAAGCAAUGCUGCUGGGUUGUAUUUCGGAGGACGCACGGCUCUCGACCUUUGUCUCUCCCGAGGGGAGCCAGACCAAUCAGAAGGAGUUUUAACCCCACAAAAGGGCUUUAUUACAGACAGAAAUACUCCUCAGUUUCAUCAGCUGUACGGGUGGCUCGUCUCAGACCAUCCCGCAGGUAAAGAAGCCAACUGUGGAGGUCCUGGGUUGGCAUGGUUACACAUUUGUCUGCGGUUGUGAGGCCGGUUGGACGUACCACCAAAGUCUCUAAAUCGACAUUAGAGGUGGCUUAUGGUAGACAAAUGAACAUUCAAUUCUCUGGCAACAGCUCUGGUGGACAUUCCCUGCAGUCAGCAUGUCAAUUCCCUCAAAACUUGAAACAUCUGUGGCCUUGUGUUGUUUUGACAAAACUGCACAUUUUAGAGUGGCCCUUUUAUCUGUCCACGGCGGAAGGUGCACCUGUGUAAUGAUCACGCUGUUUAAUCAGCUUCUUGAAGUGCCACACCUGUCAGGUGGAUGGAUUAUCUUGGCAAAGGAGUGAAAUAAGCUUUUUAUGAGCGUAUGGAACAUUUCUGGGAUAUUUCAUUUCAGUUCGUAAAACAAAGUUUGAGAGAAAUAAGCUUUUUUGAGCGUAUGGAACAUUUCAGGGAUCUUUUAUUUCAGCUCAUGAAACGUUGGGUGUAUUUUAGACCUAGGCCUACUCCACUAUACUUCCACUAGAGGGGAUCCUUCAGGUGUAUUUUAGACCUAGGCCUACUCCACUAUACUUCCACUAGAGGGGAUCCUUCAGGUGUAUUUUAGACCUAGGCCUACUCCACUAUACUUCCACUAGAGGGGAUCCUUCAGGUGUAUUUUAGACCUAGGCCUACUCCACUAUACUUCCACUAGAGGGGAUCCUUCAGGUGUAUUUUAGACCUAGGCCUACUCCACUAUACUUCCACUAGAGGGGAUCCUUCAGGUGUAUUUUAGACCUAGGCCUACUCCACUAUACUUCCACUAGAGGGGAUCCUUCAGGUGUAUUUUAGACCUAGGCCUACUCCACUAUACUUCCACUAGAGGGGAUCCUUCAGGUGUAUUUUAGACCUAGGCCUACUCCAUUAUACUUCCACUAGAGGGGAUCCUUCAGGUGUAUUUUAGACCUAAGCCUACUCCACUAUACUUCCACUAGAGGGGAUCCUUCAGGUGUAUUUUAGACCUAGGCCUACUCCACUAUACUUCCACUGUGAACACACACAUUGAACUAAAAGAUAC